rnacentral:tRNA from 1 species
GCGGAUGUAGCCAAGUGGAUCAAGGCACUGGAUUGUGAAUCCAUUAUGCGCGGGUUCAAGUCCCGUCGUUCGCC